GAUGAACGCUGGCGGCGUGCCUAAUACAUGCAAGUAGAACGCUGAAGGAGGAGCUUGCUCUUUCCGGAUGAGUUGCGAACGGGUGAGUAACGCGUAGGUAACCUGCCUGGUAGCGGGGGAUAACUAUUGGAAACGAUAGCUAAUACCGCAUAACAGUAGAUAUUGCAUGAUAUUUGCUUGAAAGGGGCAAUUGCUCCACUACCAGAUGGACCUGCGUUGUAUUAGCUAGUUGGUGAGGUAACGGCUCACCAAGGCGACGAUACAUAGCCGACCUGAGAGGGUGAUCGGCCACACUGGGACUGGGACACGGCCCAGACUACUACGGGAGGCAGCAGUAGGGAAUCUUCGGCAAUGGACGGAAGUCUGACCGAGCAACGCCGCGUGAGUGAAGAAGGUUUUCGGAUCGUAAAGCUCUGUUGUAAGAGAAGAACGAGUGUGAGAGUGGAAAGUUCACACUGUGACGGUAUCUUACCAGAAAGGGACGGCUAACUACGUG
rnacentral:rRNA from 1 species